rnacentral:rRNA from 1 species
GGCCAGGGUCGUCUCGGCAC